rnacentral:rRNA from 1 species
AGAGAGAGACAUGCGCGCAUAUCAAUAAGCGGAGGAAAAGAAACUAACAAGGAUUCCCCUAGUAACGGCGAGUGAAGCGGGAAGAGCUCAAAUUUGAAAUCUUAAAGGGUUUCCCUUUACGAAUUGUAGUUUAAAGAAGUGUUUUCUGUUGAGGUUUUGGCUAAAAGUUCUUUGGAAUAGGACAUCAUAGAGGGUGAGAAUCCCGUAUUUGACCUUUACUUUCAACUGUGUGAUACACUUUCAAAGAGUCGGAUCGUUUGGGAAUGCAGUCCAAAAUGGGUGGUAAAUUUCAUCUAAAGCUAAAUAUUGGCGAGAGACCGAUAGCGAACAAGUACCGUGAGGGAAAGAUGAAAAGAACUUUGAAAAGAGAGUUAAACAGUACGUGAAAUUGUCAAAAGGGAAGCGUUUGACACCAGUGUUGUUUUUCUGAAAAUCAAUUAAAGAACUGUUUAUGCUAAGCUGUUUAGACUUUAUCAGCUAACUGUUUAGUUUUGAGCUUUUCUUUAAUGCACUUUUCAGUUAACAAGUCAACAUCAAUUUCUUUUGCUGUAAAAAAGCUUGAGGAAGGUGGCUUGAGAUUCGUCUUAAGUGUUUAUAGCCUCUUGCCUAUGCAGUCGGAGAGAUUGAGGUCUGCAGCGUAGAUCCUUCGGGGCUAAAUGCAUUUGUGCUAAGUUAUAGCAUUUUAUAGACAACUUGUUGACUAUGAUUUGUCUUGUAGCUUACUCGCUUAUGUUAUUUUACCUACGCUUAGGAUGUUGAGCGCAUGUCUCUCUCU